GUGCGCUGACCCGCAAGGGAGGCAGCCGUCCAAGGUAUAACUCAUGAUUGGGGUGAAGUCGUAACAAGGUAGCCGUAGGAGAACCUGCGGCUGGAUCACCUCCUUU
rnacentral:rRNA from 1 species